rnacentral:tRNA from 1 species
GCAUUGUUGGUUCAGUGGUAGAAUUCUCGCCUGCCACGCGGGUGGCCUGGUUUCGAUUCCCGGCUAAUGCA